rnacentral:rRNA from 1 species
GACGAACGCUGGCGGCGUGCCUAAUACAUGCAAGUUGAGCGCUGAAGGUUGGUACUUGUACCCACUGGAUGAGCAGCGAACGGGUGAGUAACGCGUGGGGAAUCUGCCUUUGAGCGGGGGACAACAUUUGGAAACGAAUGCUAAUACCGCAUAAAAACUUUAAACACAAGUUUUAAGUUUGAAAGAUGCAAUUGCAUCACUCAAAGAUGAUCCCGCGUUGUAUUAGCUAGUUGGUGAGGUAAAGGCUCACCAAGGCGAUGAUGCAUAGCCGACCUGAGAGGGUGAUCGGCCACAUUGGGACUGAGACACGGCCCAAACUCCUACGGGAGGCUGCAGUAGGGAAUCUUCGGCAAUGGACGAAAGUCUGACCGAGCAACGCCGCGUGAGUGAAGAAGGGUUUCGGAUCGUAAAACUCUGUUGGUAGAGAAGAACGUUGGUGAGAGUGGAAAGCUCAUCAAGUGACGGUAACUACCCAGAAAGGGACGGCUAACUACGUG